GCGCACGGUGGCUUAGUGGUUAGCACGUUUGCCUCACACCUCCAGGGUCCGGGUCCAGGGUUCGAUUCCCGCCGGGGCC